GAUGAACGCUAGCUAUAGGCUUAACACAUGCAAGUCGAGGGACCGGCGCACGGGUGAGUAACGCGUAUCCAACCUGCCCAUAACUAAGGGAUAACCCAGCGAAAGUUGGACUAAUACCUUAUGGUUAUGGAUGGGGAUGCGUCUGAUUAGCUUGUUGGCGUGGUAACGGCCCACUAAGGCAACGAUCAGUAGGGGUUCUGCGAGGAAGCUCCCCCACAAUGGAGCUAAGACACGGACCAAACUGCUACGGGAGACAGCAGUAAGGAAUAUUGGGCAAUGGAGGCAAGUCUGGACCAGCCAAGUAGCGUGCAGGAUGACGGCCUAUGGGUUGUAAACUGCUUUUAUAUGGGGAUAGGUACCAUAUGAAUAAGGACCGGCUAAUUCCGUGCCAGCAGCCGCGGUAAUUC
rnacentral:rRNA from 1 species